rnacentral:rRNA from 1 species
AAAGCGUGGGGAGCAACAAGGAUUAGAUACCCCUGGUAGUACACGCCGUAAAACGAUGAGUGCUAAGUGUUGAAGGGUUUCCGCCCUUCAGUUGCUGCAGCAAACGCAUUAAGCACUCCGCCUGGGGGAGUACGACCCGCAAGGGUUGAAACUCAAAGGAAAUUGACGGGGGGCCCGCACAAGCGGUGGAGCAUGUGGUUUAAUUCGAAAGCAACGCGAAGAACCUUACCAGGUCUUGACAUCCUUUGACCACUCUAGAGAUAGAGCUUUUCCCUUCGGGGACAAAGUGACAGGUGGUGCAUGGUUGUCGUCAGCUCGUGUCGUGAGAUGUUGGGUUAAGUCCCGCAACGAGCGCAACCCUUAUUGUUAGUUGCCAUCAUUUAGUUGGGCACUCUAGCGAGACUGCCGGUGACAAACCGGAGGAAGGUGGGGAUGACGUCAAAUCAUCAUGCCCCUUAUGACCUGGGCUACACACGUGCUACAAUGGGAAGUACAACGAGUCGCUAGACCGCGAGGUCAUGCAAAUCUCUUAAAGCUUCUCUCAGUUCGGAUUGCAGGCUGCAACUCGCCUGCAUGAAGCCGGAAUCGCUAGUAAUCGCGGAUCAGCACGCCGCGGUGAAUACGUUCCCGGGCCUUGUACACUCGCCCGCACACCCGAGAGUUUUUAAUCAUAGCGCAAGUCCCCAGAGUUGUCCU